GGUGGCUCAGCAGUAGAGUGCUUGCUUCGCAUGCAUGAAGCCCUGGGUUUGAUCCUCAGCACCA
rnacentral:tRNA from 1 species